rnacentral:rRNA from 1 species
UACGGGAGGCAGCAGUGGGGAAUAUUGCACAAUGGGCGCAAGCCUGAUGCAGCCAUGCCGCGUGUAUGAAAAAGGCCUUCGGGUUGUAAAGUACUUUCAGUCGUGAGGAAGGUGUUAAGGUUAAUAACCUUAGCAAUUGACGUUAGCGACAGAAGAAGCACCGGCUAACUCCGUGCCAGCAGCCGCGGUAAUACGGAGGGUGCGAGCGUUAAUCGGAAUUACUGGGCGUAAAGGGCACGCAGGCGGUUAAUUAAGUUGGAUGUGAAAUCCCCGGGCUUAACCUGGGAAUGGCAUUCAAGACUGGUUAGCUAGAGUCUUGUAGAGGGGGGUAGAAUUCCGAUGUGUAGCGGUGAAAUGCGUAGAGAUGUGGAGGAAUACCGGUGGCGAAGGCGGCCCCUGGGACAAAGACUGACGCUCAUGUGCGAAAGCGUGGGGAGCAAACGAGGGAUUAGAUA